AAGAAACCUACCAUAGCGGAAUGGGAACCGCUUUAUGGGAAGGUCGCUAACCGAGUGAGCCCUUGGAGGGGUAGGUUUAUGUCCUCGGCGGCGAGGCUAAUCCUAACCAACUCGAGCUUAUCUUCCCUCCCUAUUUUCACUAUGGGGAUGUUCCUACUAGCGGAUGGGGUUCACACAAGACUCGAUACCCCUCGCUCCCGGUUCUUUUGGGAAGGAGCCGGGACCAAGCGUAAGUAUCACUUAGUGAAAUGGGCAGCAGCGUGUAGGCCAAAAAAAUUUGGCGGCCUAGGUAUCACGAAUUCUAAACUCAUGAACGUGGCGUUGCUAACUAAGUGGUGGUGGCGUCUUGCCCAAAACGAGUCGGGGCUCUGGGCAGACAUCCUUCGAGCCAAAUAUUUCCCGGAGGGGAAUUUGUUCAAGGCUAAAACCAACGGUUCGGCCUUUUGGAACGGGAUCCAAGCGGUACGACCGGCGUUUUCAGUUGGUGCACAGUUUCGGGUAAACAACGGCAAGUCCACACGGUUCUGGCUCGACCAUUGGUGGGGUCAGGAGCCGUUAUGGCAAUCCCAUCUGGAAUUGUACCAACUGGCAACGGACACUAACAUUUUCGUGGCCGAUGCUUUACGCGUCCACCCUCUAGCCAUUUCGUUCAUCAGGAAUCUAGAGCCCAGGGAGGCUGCAAGCUGGGACACUUUGACGGUCGACUGGGGUGGUCUGAACCGUAGCACUGGGGCGGACACGAUAUCGUGGAAGUUGACCGCUUCUAAGCGAUUUUCGGUCAAGUCCUUAUAUGACAAGCUAUCUUCGGGACCUACAUUAGAUAUAGCUAGGGGGCUAUGGAAGGCCGCCAUUCCUCUCAAAAUUAAGAUCUUCUUUUGGCAAAUGUUU
rnacentral:rRNA from 1 species